rnacentral:lncRNA from 1 species
AUGAACCCCAUUUGUACAUCAUUCAAGAUAGUGUUGGAAUUUUAUAAACAAGUUUGGUUCGGUUACGUGGUUCUUCUUCAUCGUUCACUUCAAUAAUUUAUUCAAAGCAACUAGAUCUUUAGCAAUUAUAAUAGAAUAUGUUAGCUUUAGUCUACCUCGUCCUCUUAUGACCUGUUAUACUGAUACUGUAUUACUCUCAUGUAUAGGAGCCUCUUUAUAUCUACGCUAAACAUGUACCAUCAUGCUUUUCUUAAUUUAUUCUCAAUUAGUGUCGCCUUAUCACAUCUAUAAAUUUGAUGUGGGAGUCUUGGCUUUCUCCUGCAUUUUGACAUGAAGUUUUCCAAGGUAUGAUUUCAUUCUCAUUAAUAUAGUCUUGAGAAGUCUUCAUCUUUUGAUUAGCCUACAACACUCGAGAAAAAAAAAAUAUAUGUACUGAUGGGAAAAUUCUUGAUUACUUACCUAUAUUGUAACUGAAAACUAUAUUUAGAUACUCAUUUGGUUUACUCCAUUUCAUCAUCUUGAAAUGUUUUCAUAGGAUUCGACAGAGUUUUAUCUGAUGUUUUGAAUAAGCUUUUCUGUUUUCCUUCUCAUAGAAAGAGAUAUGAUUCUGAAGAAAAAAGACGCCCUGAUCUCGACCAGCUAUUCUAUCCUCAAGUUUCAACUGGUUAAUCCGAGCAAAAACCAGAUUUCAUAGCUUUUUGGUUGCUCAAUGGGAAAGAAAAUCAAUUGGUUUACUUGUGUGAAAAGACUUUUCAUCCCUGAAUCUAAACCAAAAGCUGAAAAGGUACAUUAAUUGGUUUUCG